rnacentral:lncRNA from 1 species
ACGCAGCGCGGUUGCUGGGCACCUCGACUAUCACCUGACCGUAGUAAUAUCUCCCGCUACGCGCGUUGUGACCAAUGCUGCAUACAGGAGAUGAGGGAGGACGGCCAGACACCUGGAAGCCGGAAAAUGGACUCAGUGGCCUUUGAGGAUGUGGCAGUGAACUUCACCCAGGAGGAGUGGGCUUUGCUGGAUCCUUGGCAGAAAAAACUCUACAGAGAUGUGAUGCUGGAAACCUAUAGGAACCUGGCUUCAGUAGGUGAUGACGACAACAUUCCUUCACUUAGAGAACAAGUUGCCCAUCAACGAUAUUUCAAGACCUGGCAUGUGGAAAGGGAAUACUUCAGUAAAUAAACCAAGCAUGGUGACAGCUAAUUAGAUCUAGAAUCUAAUAGUUUUUCUAUAAUUAAUAAUGAUUUCCAAUGAUUUUUCUGGGUCUGCAUCAUAGGGAAAAAAUGUGAAGAGCAUAACAUUGAAGAUCAGUCCAAAAACCAAGAA